rnacentral:rRNA from 1 species
UACGUAGGGUGCGAGCGUUGUCCGGAAUCACUGGGCGUAAAGGGUGCGUAGGCGGGUCUUUAAGUCGGUGGUGAAAUCCUGGAGCUCAACUCCAGAACUGCCUUCGAUACUGAGAGUCUCGAGUCCGGGAGAGGUGAGUGGAACUGCGAGUGUAGAGGUGAAAUUCGUAGAUAUUCGCAAGAACACCAGUGGCGAAGGCGGCUCACUGGCCCGGUACUGACGCUGAGGUGCGAAAGCGUGGGGAGCAAACGGG